rnacentral:rRNA from 1 species
UGUAGGCUGAAACUCGCCUACAUGAAGCUGGAGUUACUAGUAAUCGCAGAUCAGAAUGCUGCGGUGAAUGCGUUCCCGGGUCUUGUACACACCGCCCGUCACACCACGGAAGUUGGGGGCGCCCGAAGCCACUUAGCUAACCCUUUUGGGAAGCGAGUGUCGAAGGUGAAAUCAAUAACUGGGGUGAAGUCGUAACAAGGUACC